rnacentral:rRNA from 1 species
GAUGAACGCUGGCGGCGUGCCUAAUACAUGCAAGUCGAGCGAACAGACGAGGAGCUUGCUCCUCUGACGUUAGCGGCGGACGGGUGAGUAACACGUGGAUAACCUACCUAUAAUACUGGGAUAACUUCGGGAAACCGGAGCUAAUACCGGAUAAUAUGUUGAAUCGCAUGGUUCAACAGUGAAAGACGGUCUUGCUGUCACUUAUAGAUGGAUCCGCGCCGCAUUAGCGAGUUGGUAAGGUAACGGCUUACCAAGGCAACGAUGCGUAGCCGACCUGAGGGGGUGAUCGGCCACACUGGAACUGAGACACGGUCCAGACUCCUACGGGAGGCAGCAGUAGGGAAUCUUCCGCAAUAGGCGAAAGCCUGACGGAGCAACGCCGCGUGAGUGAAGAAGGUCUUCGGAUCGUAAAACUCUGUUAUUAGGGAAGAACAAAUGUGUAAGUAACUAUGCACGUCUUGACGGUACCUAAUCAGAAAGCCACGGCUAACUACGUG